AGCGAACGCUGGCGGCAGGCUUAACACAUGCAAGUCGAGCGGGCAUCCUUGUGGUGUCAGCGGCAGACGGGUGAGUAACGCGUGGGAACGUGCCCUUCGGUUCGGAAUAACUCAGGGAAACUUGAGCUAAUACCGGAUACGUGCGAGAGCAGAAAGGUUUAUCUGCCGAAGGAUCGGCCCGCGUCUGAUUAGCUAGUUGGUGAGGUUAUGGCUCACCAAGGCGACGAUCAGUAGCUGGUCUGAGAGGAUGAUCAGCCACACUGGGACUGAGACACGGCCCAGACUCCUACGGGAGGCAGCAGUGGGGAAUAUUGGACAAUGGGGGCAACCCUGAUCCAGCCAUGCCGCGUGAGUGAUGACGGCCUUAGGGUUGUAAAGCUCUUUUCGCCGGGACGAUAAUGACGGUACCGGAGGAAUAAGCCCCGGCUAACUCCGU
rnacentral:rRNA from 1 species